rnacentral:lncRNA from 1 species
AAAGAGAUUUGGGGAUAAGGUUUCCCCCCUCCCGCCUCCUAAUUUGUGGUUUUUUUUUAAUCUGCUGGAUUCCUGCCUCAGUGACCUUUUAAAGCACUUUUAGGUCCUUGGGCUGGGACGAGAAUCGCUGCUUUGACCGACAGGAAUGAAAGAAUUCUUUCACUCCAUUGGGUGGAAAACAGUGGCUGAGUUGCUCCAGAACAAUUCCACCUCAUUUCAGGGGGGGAAAAGGAACUGAAGCAAGUGUCAGUCCUGAAGCAUCAUCCAUCCUGUUGUGUCAUGGAGGCGCCAAUAAUCAGAUUGUGAG